AACGAACGCUGGCGGCGUUGAUAAGACAUGCAAGUCGUGCGGGACAUCGUUGGUAGCAAUAUUAGCGGUGUCUAGCGGCGAACGGGUGCGUAACACGUAGCUCACCUACCUCGAAGUGGGGGAUAGCUCGCCGAAAGGCGAACUUAAUACCGCAUGUGGUUGUAAGACUAAAGCGGGGGAUCGUAAGACCUCGCGCUUCGAGAUGGGGCUGCGGCCUAUCAGCUAGNGGUGAGGUAACGGCCCACCAAGGCGAUGACGGGUAGCUGGUCUGA
rnacentral:rRNA from 1 species